AUUUGAAGCGACCGUUUCGAUCUUCUGCGAAGCGGAAAACGUGCUUACGAAGCGAAUAACUCUUGAAAUAUACAUAUAUAAGCAUUUGUGUAUGCGUGCGCGCGCGUGUGUGUGUGUGUGUGUAUGUGUAUAAUGUGGUUGACUACUUCUCGAGAUUUUCCGAAAAUUAGGUAAAUCAGUAAAACCGUAAAACUACGAAAAGGGAAGAGGAGACUUAUAAAUUUUGAAAGUUGAUCGAGAACAUCGUAACUGUAUAGAGAACAUCAACAACGAAUUUGGAGAAUGAUCGAUCGAUUUGUAAAACUCGUCGUAAGUAGGGAAGUUUGGAGGUUCAGGAAGGAAAGGAACAAGAAAACGAGAGUUUAGACGAAAUUGAAAAUUGAAGAAAAAAGAAAACGAAAUAUAUAAAUAUAAUAUAUAUAUAUAUUUCUUUUAUACGCAAUUUUCAAGAAUUUGCAUGAAUACGAUAAAAGCGAUUUAAGUUACUCAUCGAGUUUUUGAGCAAUCGUAAUCGUAUCUUAAUCUUUGCGGUUUAACAUAUAAACCGAGGUCGGGGGCUGUUAAUUUCGUCUAUCGUUGCUUGAAAAGCUAACGAAGAAAGCUGAGUCUAUCAGUAACGGCGCUGACAGCAGGUAGAACGAAAGAACGGUCAGAAGGACAAGCAAAGACAACGUUUAUACCUCUACGAAAAUAGUGAGUAGAAAAAAGAAAAAAAGA